ensembl:snoRNA
UCUUACAAUGGUGUGUCUGUGUUUUUCUGUCUUUGGACAUAUAAAAAUUGCAAGCAAAGAAAUGUACACUUGGGAAAGUUCUGGAAUCAACUUGCAUAGAAUUCCACAUAG